UACAGAGGGUGCGAGCGUUAAUCGGAAUUACUGGGCGUAAAGCGUGCGCAGGCGGUUCGUUGUGUCGGCGGUGAAAGCCCCGGGCUCAACCUGGGAAUGGCCGUUGAAACUGGCGAACUGGAGUGUGGCAGAGGGGGGUGGAAUUCCGCGUGUAGCAGUGAAAUGCGUAGAUAUGCGGAGGAACACCGAUGGCGAAGGCAAUCCCCUGGGCCUGUACUGACGCUCAUGCACGAAAGCGCGGGGAGCGAACAGG
rnacentral:rRNA from 1 species